rnacentral:rRNA from 1 species
AGCAGCCGCGGUAAUUCCAGCUCCAAUAGCGUAUAUUAAAGUUGUUGCAGUUAAAAAGCUCGUAGUUGAAUUUCGGGAUCAGUUGGUCGGUCGUGCCUCGGUACGUACUGGUCAAAUUGAUUCCUACCUUCUGACGAACCACGAUGUCAUUAAUUUGGUGUCGCGGGRAAUCAGGACUGUUACUUUGAAAAAAUUAGAGUGUUUAAAGCAGGCUCGCGCUUGAAUACAUUAGCAUGGAAUAAUGAAAUAGGACGUUUGAUUCUAUUUUGUUGGUUUCUAGGAUCGACGUAAUGAUUAAUAGGGAUAGUUGGGGGCAUUAGUAUUCAAUUGUCAGAGGUGAAAUUCUUGGAUUUAUUGAAGACUAACUACUGCGAAAGCAUUUGCCAAGGAUGUUUUCAUUAAUCAAGAACGAAAGUUAGGGGAUCGAAGACGAUCAGAUACCGUCGUAGUCUUAACCAUAAACUAUGCCGACUAGGGAUCGGA